rnacentral:rRNA from 1 species
UACGGGGGGGGCAAGCGUUGUUCGGAAUUACUGGGCGUAAAGGGCUCGUAGGUGGCCAACUAAGUCAGACGUGAAAUCCCUCGGCUUAACCGGGGAACUGCGUCUGAUACUGGAUGGCUUGAGUUUGGGAGAGGGACGCGGAAUUCCAGGUGUAGCGGUGAAAUGCGUAGAUAUCUGGAGGAACACCGGUGGCGAAGGCGGCGUCCUGGACCAACACUGACACUGAGGAGCGAAAGCCAGGGGAGCAAACGGGAGUUAG